rnacentral:rRNA from 1 species
GAGUAACACGUGGGUAACCUGCCUGUAAGACUGGGAUAACUCCGGGAAACCGGGGCUAAUACCGGAUGCUUGAUUGAACCGCARGGUUCCGUUAUAAAAGGUGGCUUAGG